GGGCCAGUGGCUCAGUGGGCAGAGCACCUGCUUUUCAUGCAGGAGGUCCCAGGUUCAAUUCCCGGCACUUCCA